UACGGAGGGGGCUAGCGUUGCUCGGAAUCACUGGGCGUAAAGCGCACGUAGGCGGACUCUUAAGUCGGGGGUGAAAUCCUGGAGCUCAACUCCAGAACUGCCUUCGAUACUGGGAGUCUUGAGUUCGGGAGAGGUGAGUGGAACUGCGAGUGUAGAGGUGAAAUUCGUAGAUAUUCGCAAGAACACCAGUGGCGAAGGCGGCUCACUGGCCCGAUACUGACGCUGAGGUGCGAAAGCGUGGGGAGCAAACAGG
rnacentral:rRNA from 1 species